rnacentral:rRNA from 1 species
CCUACGGGCGGCAGCAGUGGGGAAUAUUGGACAAUGGGGGCAACCCUGAUCCAGCCAUGCCGCGUGUGUGAAGAAGGCCCUCGGGUUGUAAAGCACUUUCAGUGAGGAAGAACGCCUGGUGGUUAAUACCCAUCAGGAAAGACAUCACUCACAGAAGAAGCACCGGCUAACUCCGUGCCAGCAGCCGCGGUAAUACGGAGGGUGCGAGCGUUAAUCGGAAUUACUGGGCGUAAAGCGCGCGUAGGUGGCUUGAUAAGCCGGUUGUGAAAGCCCCGGGCUCAACCUGGGAACGGCAUCCGGAACUGUCAAGCUAGAGUGCAGAAGAGGAAGGUAGAAUUCCCGGUGUAGCGGUGAAAUGCGUAGAGAUCGGGAGGAAUACCAGUGGCGAAGGCGGCCUUCUGGACUGACACUGACACUGAGGUGCGAAAGCGUGGGUAGCAAACAGGAUUAGAUACCCUAGUAGUC